GGAAAUUAUAAUAGUUUAGUGGUUAGAGUAUUAGUUUCCAAUUCUAAAAUCCCGAGUUCGAAAUCCUGGCAAGUGACAAUUUUCA